AUAUUUUGUGUAUUUGUCAUAUCCCGAUCCUUCCACCGUCUUCCUUUUAUCUUCCACCGCUUCUUCAUCUCCAUCCUUCCAUACGGUUUCUCCUAACAGAUCAGGAUCAUUCGCACACCGAUGAGGAGCACGAACGCAACAUAUCAGGGAGGUGGGGAGGGUUGUUCGAUGGUGGCAAAUCUGUUGAGCAGGGGAGUGGUUGACCUCUGGUCGCCCCUUUGUGGUGUACUCUUCGUCUGGUAGAGAGAGGGAAAAAGAGAAACACGAAUGGAAAUACAUAACGGGAUGGAUUGGGAAAUCUCCACCGACUCUUAGUUUGAUCGGAGAAGAAGGACGAAGGCUUCAACAAGAGCUGUCGUCAACUGUGAUGGAAGAAAGGGGCUGAUCCGGUAGCGGAUUGCGAAGGGGGGAGGGAAAAACUGUUGGUCCCAUCGUGGUUCUGUGAUGUUCAAUCGAAGAAGAAGAAAACAAAAUCAACAACAUUAAGGGUCGGAUGGAGGCUUGCCACAACCGGUUAGCUCAUCGGUCAUUCUUCUUCUCCACUUCGUCGGUUCCAAACAAAAUGGAGAGAGUGAGAUCAGUACAGUAGCCAUAAGGGGGGGGGGGGGGGGGGGUGCUUGGGUGGUUUCUUUGAGUUCACAGAGGUGCUUGGAUUGUUGUUCAAAUCGACAGACACGAUGGAGGAAAGAGAGAGAGGCUGGGCAGUAAACAGAUGAGGAAAUGUUUGGGAUUGUGCUUCUUCAACGAUAUAAAAAACAAAUAUGUGCAAAGACUACAACAGAGACAACAAAAGGUUGUGGGAAGAUUGUUCCGAUCUUGGAAUGCUGGAUUCUUGGAUUUGGAUCUUUGGUCACAUGGAAUAGUAUGUUAACCACAAGAUACUGCUAUUAUGCGCCACUUCCACAUCUUGACAUAGCCAGAUUGCAUCCUGUCAAUGUAGUUACAAAUCACAAAACCAGCUUCUAAUUAUGAUGCCAUGUGUAAAGUUUUUGGCAUUCACAAGAAGGAGGUACCUGAAUCCAAGUUUAAGGAGUGUUGGCAACACUAGCUGUUCCCUUCCAGUUGAUGUGCUUAUAUCAUGUAAUCAUGAAUUCAAGUUUAAAUGGUUCCAUUGAUGCAUUUAUCACUUAUUAUGCAGGAAGACCAUGAAGGCAUCAAUUCUUUUUUAAUAAUGUCCAACAUGUUGAUUCUAUUCCUAAGGAAGACAAUGGCUCUAUCUCUGAACCCUUGGGUCUUGUGUGUUACUAUGUUUCAGCCGAAGAACCUAGGAAUGGACUCACCAAUUCCAUGGAAUCAGGAAAAUUAGGUGGAGAUCUACAUUAUACAAGUGAUAAUAGUGUUGGCGAUUGUAGUUGCACCUGUUCUAUCUAUUCCUUCAUUCGUUACUCCAAAACCUUCUUAUUCAUCGUUGGUACACUUAAUAGUUUUUUUAGUAUAACCUAAAAUUUAGUUUUCUAAUCUAAUUUAACAGCAGUGGACUUAUUGAUCUGUUUCUGGUGUUGGAUUAUUUAUGUUUCAUCAAAUCAAAUAAAUUUUAUAAAUCAGGAAAAAAAUUCAUAACUUACACGUGUUUAAAUUUUCCUUUGCAAAAAUUGAUUGUUUUAAUGAAUUGUUGUAAGGACUACACUUGACACCAGUUGUGGGGUACGUAUGUUUUUAUUUUCAAUUCUAUCUGAAUGUUUUUUUAUUUGAUUUAGGAUUUUUGAAAAUUCUGAUUUUUUCUUUUUUUGGCGUUAUUUUUACGUUGCAAGUUUUGGUCCUUACCUAUGGAAGAGAAAUGUGAUAGCACUGUCAUUUGCACCUACAGAUAACCAUGAAGCGGAAGUUCAAGUUUUGGUCCUUACCUAUGGAAGAGACAUGGCUCAUUGCUCCCGCUGCUUGAUUCCAUGUGGUUCAAAUGAUGGAAAGUACAUGAUGGAAAUUCAUCGGGUUCUUAAACCGGGUACAAGAAAAUGGAAUCGUGUGCGAGUCCUGGAAGUGGAGGUGAUUAGGUGGCGUUUGUUGAACAACUUUAUGAUGCGGUUGAGAAAUAUAUGGAGGAUGGUAAACAAAUGGAAUAGACAUGAGAAUUGUUAUAAACGGAUGAAUGGAAUAAUUGACUCCAGAAAAUGUAAUGGAUAUAAAUACAAGGAUUUGCAGUUGGAAAUCCUAGGUGUGAAAUGUUUUUGAAGAAUGCAAAGAAGGUAUAGUAAGCACAUUGUUCGUA